GUGCCUCAAUCUAUUGAGUAAGGAAAUUAUUGGGCCUUGGUGACUCUUGGCAAUGUCCUGUUAGGGCGAAACUAUUUUUGAAAGGCACAGGUCGUCCCGCGGACUGCUCACCUACUUUGUGCGCGGUCUCGGUGAAGCGAUCUCGCCG